ACACAUGCAAGUCGAGGGGAAACGACAUCGAAAGCUUGCUUUUGAUGGGCGUCGACCGGCGCACGGGUGAGUAACGCGUAUCCAACCUGCCCACCACUUGGGGAUAACCUUGCGAAAGUAAGACUAAUACCCAAUGACGUCUCUAGAAGACAUCUGAAGGAGAUUAAAGAUUUAUCGGUGAUGGAUGGGGAUGCGUCUGAUUAGCUUGUUGGCGGGGUAACGGCCCACCAAGGCUACGAUCAGUAGGGGUUCUGAGAGGAAGGUCCCCCACAUUGGAACUGAGACACGGUCCAAACUCCUACGGGAGGCAGCAGUGAGGAAUAUUGGUCAAUGGACGGGAGUCUGAACCAGCUAAGUAGCGUGCAGGAUGACGGCCCUAUGGGUUGUAAACUGCUUUUAUAAGGGAAUAAAGUGAGUCUCGUGAGAUUUUUUGCAUGUACCUUAUGAAUAAGGACCGGCUAAUUCCGUGCCAGCAGCCGCGGUAAUACGGAAGGUCCGGGCGUUAUCCGGAUUUAUUGGGUUUAAAGGGAGCGUAGGCCGGAGAUUAAGCGUGUUGUGAAAUGUAGAUGCUCAACAUCUGCACUGCAGCGCGAACUGGUUUCCUUGAGUACGCACAAAGUGGGCGGAAUUCGUGGUGUAGCGGUGAAAUGCUUAGAUAUCACGAAGAACUCCGAUUGCGAAGGCAGCUCACUGGAGCGCAACUGACGCUGAAGCUCGAAAGUGCGGGUAUCGAACAGGAUUAGAUACCCUGGUAGUCCGCACGGUAAACGAUGGAUGCCCGCUGUUGGUCUGAAUAGGUCAGCGGCCAA
rnacentral:rRNA from 1 species